rnacentral:rRNA from 1 species
AUUACCUAGAGUUGUAGGCUUUGCCUGCUAUCUCUUACCCAUGUCUUUUGAGUACCUUCGUUUCCUCGGCGGGUCCGCCCGCCGAUUGGACAAAUUUAAACCCUUUGCAGUUGCAAUCAGCGUCUGAACAAACAUAAUUGUUACAACUUUCAACAACGGAUCUCUUGGUUCUCGCAUCAAUGAAGAACGCAGCAAAACGCGAUAGGUAAUGUGAAUUGCGGAAUUCAGUGAAUCAUCGAAUCUUUGAACGCAUAUUGCGCCUCUUGGUGGACCAUGGGGCAUGUCUGUUCGAGAGUGAUGCUCAAUGAUCAAGCCAUUGUUUUGAUGCAGUGGACUUGUUUUUGAGUCCUGGGAGUCCAGCUUCCCUGGCUCUAAAGUGGUGGUCUUGCGGUCCAUGUUGAACCAUGAACAUGAUAAUGUAAAACUCAUUGUUCUGUGGUGCUUAACUGGGGCUAGCCUUAACAACCUUAAAUUCUAACUUCGGAUCAGACAAGAAUACCCGCUGAACUUAAGCAUAUCAAUAAGCGGAGGA